GGACUAGCUCAGUGGUAGAGUACAUGCUUAGCAUGCACAAGGUCCUGGGUUCGAUCCCCAGUACCUCCA
rnacentral:tRNA from 1 species